UACGUAGGGACCGAGCGUUGUCCGGAAUCAUUGGGCGUAAAGAGCGUGUAGGCGGCCUUUUAAGUCCUGCGUGAAAUCCUGCGGCUCAACCGCAGACGGUCGUGGGAAACUGGAAGGCUAGAGUGCGGGAGAGGAGAGUGGAAUUCCCGGUGUAGCGGUGAAAUGCGCAGAUAUCGGGAGGAACACCGGUGGCGAAGGCGGUUCUCUGGGCAUUACCUGACGCUGAGGAGCGAAAGUGUGGGGAGCGAACAGG
rnacentral:rRNA from 1 species